GGACAACAAGUUCAUUGAGGCGGGCCAAUUUAAUGAUAACCUCUAUGGGACCAGCAUCCAGUCAGUGCGGGCAGUUGCAGAGAGGGGCAAGCACUGCAUCUUAGAUGUUUCCGGCAAUGCUAUCAAGAGACUGCAGCAAGCACAACUUUACCCCAUUGCCAUUUUCAUCAAGCCCAAGUCCAUUGAAGCCCUUAUGUAAGUGUUUAACUGAGAACUCAGACACACCAAGCUAAGAUCGGGUCUGGAAGGGAAAUGGAGAAGAAAGUGAUUUGCUGGGCAGAAACUUGAAAGAAACUCUGUACCCCAGCUCUGGUCACUGGGUGCUCCUGUUUUGAGGGCUUGUGCAUAUGUUCAUGGUUGGACUUUUGAACGCAGGUUUGAGGAGUUAGCCACGGGCCACUGCUGCUCUGAGAGGGCAGCUUAGCAGAUUUUUAGGGAUCCUGGAAUAAUCCUUUAUGGUUAAUCAGAACAUAAGAUCUGGUUCAGAACUAUUUUUCUUCUGUCUUUGGCAGGGAAAUGAACCGAAGGCAGACAUAUGAACAAGCAAAUAAGAUCUAUGACAAAGCCAUGAAACUGGAGCAGGAAUUUGGAGAGUACUUUACGG
rnacentral:sRNA from 1 species